CCAACUGAAUUGGAAAUGUAUUACAGCUUUUCGGAUGCUCUUUUUGUACCAAAAUAGGUUUUGUCGUCUCUUUUCAUGUUGGGGAGGGUUUGUUCUCACCUUUUUUUUGGUUGAGGUAGUAUUCUCUUAUGUUAGAUAAAGUUUAUAAUUCAUUUCUCUUCAAUUGCAAGGGGCAAAUGCUUACUUCUUUGGAAAAGGUGGUAGAAUGGUUUGUGUUGCAGACCAAUGUGCAAGGAGGUCAAGUUUAUAUCUUAAUUCUCCCCUCUGAUUGGCAAAGGAUCAUGUUCUGCUCAUGCCCAAAAAUAGUUUCUAGCAUAUGUUGAAAAAGCCAAGACUACUGGAUGGUUGGAUUCAUCAUUUCAUUAUGGCAAUUCCAUAAACGGUAAAGAGAAUGGGGCCUACCAAUAAUAACGAGUAAGUUUUCUCACCCUUUGCUAUACCCCAUUUUAUAUAAGAUUAGAUAUACUAAAAUGGUUAUGAUGUUGGGAUUUGAAUCCCAGAUGCCACGUCUUGAAGGUGUUUGCAUGAGCCAUAGGUUGAAUGCAAAUUUUGAUUCUAAUUUAUUAAUCCCGAUCAUUCCACUCUUAUUAGAGCUGACAUGCUCAAUUUUUUUUACUCUUAAAAUUAAUCACUCGUAGGUUUAUAGGGAAGUUGAGUUCCUUCUAGCUGUGCCCUGGUAUUGCAGAGAAUAAGUUAAGAAUUUACUUAAAUUUAAACAUUUGCCUGACACGCUGCAUUAUUAUUGAAGUCAGCAUGAUUUGUAUUGUUUUUUUUUUGCCAUUACAGCUGCUAUAGUUAUGUAAAGAGAAUGGGGCCUGCCAAUAAUAAUGAGCAUGUAGGCACUAAAUCUGCAGUUCAAAUUCGAAGCCAUGCUCAAAAGUUUUUCUCUAAGGCUCAUUGCUUUGAGUUCAUUACAAGAUUUCCUUGAUUAAGUAAAUGUAUUAUAUCUUUUAUUACCAAGAUUUACUUGAUUAAGAAAAUGCAUUGUAUUUUUUAUUACCUUGCAA